rnacentral:misc_RNA from 1 species
GAUUGCCAUUACUGUGUCAAUUGCAAAUCUUGUUCAGCUGAAGUUACAGAGCACGAAGGAUCAAAUAAUCUUGUUCUUCCUGGUGUUCAUACACAGUUAAGAUCACCCCAGAAUUUAGGCACUGAUAAUCCAAAUGACAAACAUACAGUAACCAAUGCGCCAAUGCCAUCAACGUCAUUUUCUCUACCCAGUUCCCUUGGAAGAAAUAUUAAGAAACUAGAGGGUUCAAAUGAAGCUUUGAAUAUUGGUCGUGGGUUUGGGAACAAAACUGGUGCCAGCAGCUUGAUGAGAAUAUCUUCGGCUAAG